rnacentral:rRNA from 1 species
CUGGGCUUGACAUGUGCGGAAAUCCUACGAAAGUAGGCUCCGGGGCAACCCGGCCGCAACACAGGUGCUGCAUGGCUGUCGUCAGCUCGUGCCGUGAGGUGUUGGGUUAAGUCCCGCAACGAGCGUAACCCUUGUCGUGUGUUGGUCCACAAGAUCUCUCACACGAGACCGCCGGUGAGAAGCCGGAGGAAGGUGGGGAUGACGUCAAGUCAGCAUGGCCCUUACGUCCAGGGCUACACACGUGCUACAAUGCGCGCGACAGCGAGCAGCGAGCCCGCGAGGGCUAGCCAAUCUCUUAAACGCGCGCUCAGUUCGGAUUGAAGGCUGCAACUCGCCUUCAUGAAGUCGGAAUCGCUAGUAAACGCAGAUCAGCUACGCUGCGUUGAAUACGUUCCC